ensembl:lncRNA
UGGCGGAUGUAGCAGGUGAUUGUGCUGACGUAGCUCCGACUUUCAAACGGUCACGAUUAAAACCAGAGAUAUAUAAAACAACUGAUGGAAGGGUAAUUGUAGAGGAUGAACUACUUAAUUUCCUUGCUGUAAAAAUCAAAACUUUAAGUCAGGAUGAAAUUGUGUUGUUGGCCACGAACACAUUUGAAUCCGAGGGGAUUGAAGCCUCCAAGAAAGUUUUGUUUGAGCUCUGCCCCACUACCUCACAGCGGUGCGUUGGAUAUAAAGGACAGCAUAAAGACGCCAACAAUAUUAAACUCUGUCUUAAAGUGCUGAAUGAGUGUGGGGAGAAUAUCCCAAGAUUUGUAUCUCAUCACCUGGAUGAUUUGCCGCCUGUUACAUACUCCAGCAUGGAUGUGUGUUGUCUACUACGGCGAAUGGACCAGCUGUGUGCUGAGGUGGGUGCUUUAAAACAUGUAGUUAAACUACAGGCGGAUGUCUGCGAGCAAGUUAUGACCAAUGCUGUGGAGGUCGACCAACGUGUGACUGCUCUUGAGUGUCGGCCUGAGGUACCGGCUGAGCCUGUUACGCUGAAUGCUCAGGGGUCGGGGACCGCUUCCCACUUUCCCCUGGGGAAACACGCAGAGGAGCGGUGGGGGAGUCGAAGUAAAGGCGGCCCGCGCGAAAGGCAGGAAGCCAGAGCUUUGGCUGCUUCAAGGACUGGGACAAGCACAGUGUCAGCAUUUUGUCCGGAGAUGUUGUUAUGUGGUCAAGAUCGGGCUCCGACGACAGCCCGCGGCCGUAAUAUGGAAACUACAGCAACAACGGAGGAUCCCGUUGAGACAGUGCUUUCUACAUGCUCCCCACAAUGGAGUAAAGUUGUGAAAAAUGGCAAGCCUCGUCACAAGCUGGAGAAGGUUAAUUCGGGUUCAGGAAUGCAUGCUGCUACCACUGUGUAGCCCAGAUGAAAAAAUCAUACUUAUUCUCUUUAUAUUAACUGUCCACAUCAACAAGCGUCGUAUUUCCGAUGACCAUUGAAUGCACCUCUCAGUUCACCCCACGUGAGGGCACCUAGCUCAGCAACCAAUCAGAGCCUACCCAGGCCGCAUUGACCCUGUCAGCCAGGAAGUGAGGUGGAGGUGCAUGGUGUCCCGGGUUUUUUUUUCAUCUCAGCAAGAGGAGUGGAGGCAUCUGCUACUCAAACCGAGAAAUCCACAGACAAAAGAGAGGAAAACUCAGGAUUGAGAGGAAGGAAAGCCAGCCUACUUACCUGCUGGAAGUCCGGAGUCGAGUGGCUGGAUGAAGGAGAGAGGCAACGUCGGCUAACCACUCACCUUUCAUCCGGAGAGCUGCUGCAAUUCCAACGCCAGUGUGUGUUGGGCUUUUGUGAAACAGAGCAACGGUCAGGUUUUUUGGAGAGGACGGAAAAGUCCAAGGACCAGGACGAUAUUCUGGUUGUGAUAGAUGGCGAGCCAACCACUUUGAGGACGAUCUACCCCAAAGAAGAUACACACCACACACUCAUACAUUCCAGUUACACUCACAAGAACCUUUGAAGUUGGCUAUCGCCAGCUUAACUCUAAAUGCUUAAAGGGCCCCAACGAGUACUUUUAUUUUGUUGAGUGUGCACACUAUUUAUUUUAUUUUAUACUUUAUCUGUACAAAUUGGACAAAUACCUGUUAUACUUUGUAACAAUACAAGAGUGGCUACUCAAAAGUUAACAUUGUGUCCAGGUCAUUAUUGCUGCUCAAUACUUUGGCUCCAUACGAAUUUGGUGUCUUCUGAUUCUGGCCAGGGUCUUAUUACGAGCCCAAGUAAUUAUUGCGCUGUAAUUCACCUUUAUACCUUAAAGUUGGUUACAACUGGACACAAUAAGAGGCCUGGACCUGUAUCGAUUAUCGGCACUGGAGCUGUGAGUACAAUCAGAAUUGUGAAAACUAAAUUGGUGAGCGUAUUUGCCACUAAAUUUGCCCUGGAUGUAGAUGCAGAAACUCUUGCUCUGUAUUUGAGAGAGAAACUCAAAAGAGAUGUGACCUGUCAAAAAAUUGCUAGUAAACGUAGCAGGUUCGGCUCUUUCAAGGUUACUGCUGAAUGUAAUGAUGUGGGUGAAAUGUACAAUCCUGAACUCUGGCCUGAAGGGGCUCUGGUCCGGCGUUUUUAUGAACCUCGUAAGCCCGGUACGGUUGUGCCAAGCUCAGUGGAUCCAGCAGGGGAGAUAACUGUGAUACCAACGUAUUAACAUGAAGAUGUCUAUUAGGAUAUUAUCAUACAACUGUCGUGGUCUACGUUUGGGACAGAGUGCAGGGGACAAAGCUCGACGGAUUGUUGUGGACAGUCUGCUUGCAGAAUGUGACAUUUUAUGCUUGCAGGAGACAUGGUUGUCCAAACAGGACCUGGGAAAACUUAACUGUCUAAAUGCAAGUUUUUUGGGAGUGGGGGAAUCAACAACUGAUCUCAGCACAGCUAUAGUCAGAGGCAGAAUACCUGGAUGGGUUGCUGUGCUUUGGGACAAAAAAAUAGACCCUGUGAUAAAGCCCAUUAGACUGGAUGUAGACUGGUGUAUUGGUAUACAAUAUACACAGAACAAUAGUAGUUUUAUCAUUCUUAAUAUUUAUACUCCCUAUGAAUCUUGUCAAAAUGAGCAAGAAUACCUCAGUAGGCUGGCUUUUAUUAAUGCAUUUAUUCAAGACAACGAUACUUACAGCAUAUACGUUUUGGGUGAUUUUAAUGCUGAUCUCACAGACAGCAGUUCUCAGUUUGCUAAACACUUAACUCACUUUUGUCAAGUUAAUAAUCUUAUCUUGUGUACCAAAGUGUUACUGCCUGCAGAUAGCUAUACAUACAUAAGUGAAGCCUGGC